rnacentral:rRNA from 1 species
GCUGCAGCCGCGGUAAUCAUCUAGCCUGAUGCAGCAGCGCCGCGUGAGGGAUGACGGCCUUCGGGUUGUAAACCUCUUUUCACAGGGACGAAGCGCACGUGACNGAACUCGCAUUAAGAAGCACCGGUUCAAUUACCGUGCCAGCCAGCCGCGGUAAUACUGCCAGCAGCCGCGGUAAUAC